rnacentral:rRNA from 1 species
CCUACGGGAGGCAGCAGUGGGGAAUAUUGCACAAUGGGGGAAACCCUGAUGCAGCGAAGCCGCGUGAGGGAAGAAGUAAUUCGGUAUGUAAAGCUCUAUCAGCAGGGAAGAAAAUGACGGUACCUGAGUAAGAAGCUCCGGCUAACGACGUGCCAGCAGCCGCGGUAAUGCGUCGGGGGCAAGCGUUAUCCGGAUUUACUGGGUGUAAAGGGAGCGUAGUCGGCAGUGCAAGUCUGGAGUGAAAGGCGGGGGCUCAACCCCCGGACUGCUCUGGAAACUGUUAGGCUGGAGUGCAGUAGAGGUAAGUGGAAUUCCUAGUGUAGCGGUGAAAUGCGUAGAUAUUAGGAAGAACACCAGUGGCGAAGGCAGCUUACUGGACUGUAACUGACGUUGAGGCUCGAAAGCGUGGGGAGCAAACAGGAUUAGAUACCCCUGUAGUC